UACGUAGGUGGCAAGCGUUAUCCGGAUUUAUUGGGCGUAAAGGGAACGCAGGCGGUCUUUUAAGUCUGAUGUGAAAGCCUUCGGCUUAACCGGAGUAGUGCAUUGGAAACGGGGAGACUUGAGUGCAGAAGAGGAGAGUGGAACUCCAUGUGUAGCGGUGAAAUGCGUAGAUAUAUGGAAGAACACCAGUGGCGAAAGCGGCUCUCUGGUCUGUAACUGACGCUGAGGUUCGAAAGCGUGGGUAGCAAACAGG
rnacentral:rRNA from 1 species